rnacentral:rRNA from 1 species
GAUGAACGCUGGCGGCGUGCCUAAUACAUGCAAGUCGAGCGAAUGGAUUAAGAGCUUGCUCUUACGAAGUUAGCGGCGGACGGGUGAGUAACACGUGGGUAACCUGCCCAUAAGACUGGGAUAAUUCCGGGAAACCGGGGCUAAUACCGGAUAAUAUUUUGAACUGCAUGGUUCAAAAUUGACAGGCGGCUUCGGCUGUUACUUAUGGAUGGACCCGCGUCGCAUUAGCUAGUUGGUGAGGUAACGGCUCACCAAGGCAACGAUGCGUAGCCGACCUGAGAGGGUGAUCGGCCACACUGGGACUGAGACACGGCCCAGACUCCUACGGGAGGCAGCAGUAGGGAAUCUUCCGCAAUGGACGAAAGUCUGACGGAGCAACGCCGCGUGAGUGAUGAAGGCUUCGGGUCGUAAAACUCUGUUGUUAGGGAAGAACAAGUGCUAGUUGAAUAAGCUGGCACCUUGACGGUACCUAACCAGAAAGCCACGGCUAACUACGUGCCAGCCGCCGCGGUAA